AGUUAUUUAGCUAAAAAAGCAAAAUAUUUUGAAAAUAUUUAAUAAAAGUCUCCCUUUUAAUAGCUU
rnacentral:tRNA from 1 species